GCAAGGACAACAGCUGCUCUCAAAGUUCCAGAGUUUCAACUUGAGAGUGAUCCUCUGUCUAUUUAUACUCAAAUAUGUAAUAGUGCGUUGCUAAGCGUUAUGUUGACUUUGGAUUACAGCUUAUAGGCGCUGAUCUUAUGUCAAUACUUGGCCUUUACAAAUUUGUUCAGGGAAACUUGGUGGAACAAAAGGAUUUGCGAAGGAAGGCUCACUGCUAGUACUAGUGUAGAGAAAAACAAA